GAUGAACGCUGGCGGCGUGCCUAAUACAUGCCAGUCGAGCGAACAGACGAGGAGCUUGCUCCUCUGACGUUAGCGGCGGACGGGUGAGUAACACGUGGAUAACCUACCUAUAAGACUGGGAUAACUUCGGGAAACCGGAGCUAAUACCGGAUAAUAUAUUGAACCGCAUGGUUCAAUAGUGAAAGACGGUUUUGCUGUCACUUAUAGAUGGAUCCGCGCCGCAUUAGCUAGUUGGUAAGGUAACGGCUUACCAAGGCGACGAUGCGUAGCCGACCUGAGAGGGGGAUCGGCCACACUGGAACUGAGACCCGGUCCAGACUCCUACGGGAGGCAGCAGUAGGGAAUCUUCCGCAAUGGGCGAAAGCCUGACGGAGCAACGCCGCGUGAGUGAUGAAGGUCUUCGGAUCGUAAAACUCUGUUAUUAGGGAAGAACAAAUGUGUAAGUAACUAUGCACGUCUUGACGGUACCUAAUCAGAAAGCCACGGCUAACUACGU
rnacentral:rRNA from 1 species